UACGAAGGGGGCUAGCGUUGCUCGGAAUCACUGGGCGUAAAGCGCACGUAGGCGGAUUGUUAAGUCAGGGGUGAAAUCCUGGAGCUCAACUCCAGAACUGCCUUUGAUACUGGCGAUCUCGAGUCCGGGAGAGGUGAGUGGAACUGCGAGUGUAGAGGUGAAAAUUCGUAGAUAUUCGCAAGAACACCAGUGGCGAAGGCGGCUCACUGGCCCGGUACUGACGCUGAGGUGCGAAAGCGUGGGAGCAAACAGG
rnacentral:rRNA from 1 species